UACUCCUACUUUGACUCCCUUACAUACUAACAAGUAAGUCAACAUUCAAUUUCAAAAUCACACUGUAUUACCAUAAUGACGGUCCAAGAUAGCUUUUAAACUUAUGAAACUUAUGAAUGCAAUUAACUAAAUAAAGGGUUUGAUUGGUAACAAAAAGCUGUAUAAGUUUUUUAGUUGUAAAGCUGUUAGAAUGAGCUGUACAAUAAAGCUGUACAAAAAAAUUAAGAGUAAAACUUUCUAUAAUGCUUUUGAUAGAGUUUUUGUGAUUGGUAACUGUCAAACCUGUAAAAAGCUGUACUGCUAUGAUAAUUAUUGUCAUUCAAACCCAAUUACUUGAUUCUUUUGUUCUUACCAAAAUUAAU
rnacentral:sRNA from 1 species